GGGGUCGUAGGGUAGUUUGGUAUCCUUGUAGCUUCGGGAGCUAUAGACCUGAGUUCAAAUCUCGGCGACCCCA
rnacentral:tRNA from 1 species